UACGAAGGGGGCUAGCGUUGUUCGGAUUUACUGGGCGUAAAGCGCACGUAGGCUGAUCGUUAAGUCGGGGGUGAAAUCCUGGAGCUCAACUCCAGAACUGCCUUCGAUACUGGCGAUCUCGAGUCCGGAAGAGGUGAGUGGAACUCCUAGUGUAGAGGUGGAAUUCGUAGAUAUUAGGAAGAACACCAGUGGCGAAGGCGGCUCACUGGCCCGGUACUGACGCUGAGGUACGAAAGCGUGGGGAGCAAACAGG
rnacentral:rRNA from 1 species